UACGUAGGGUGCGAGCGUUGUCCGGAUUUAUUGGGCGUAAAGAGCGUGUAGGCGGCUUUACAGGUCCGUUGUGAAAACUCGAGGCUCAACCUCGAGACGCCGGUGGAAACCGUAAGGCUAGAGUCCGGAAGAGGAGAGUGGAAUUCCUGGUGUAGCGGUGAAAUGCGCAGAUAUCAGGAGGAACACCGAUGGCGAAGGCAGGUCUCUGGGCAUUAACUGACGCUGAGGAGCGAAAGCAUGGGGAGCGAACAGG
rnacentral:rRNA from 1 species